GACGAACGCUGGCGGCGUGCUUAACACAUGCAAGUCGAACGGCAAGGCCCUGCUUUUGUGGGGUGCUCGAGUGGCGAACGGGUGAGUAACACGUGAGUAACCUGCCCUUGACUUUGGGAUAACUUCAGGAAACUGGGGCUAAUACCGGAUAGGAGCUCCUGCUGCAUGGUGGGGGGUGGAAAGUUUCGGCGGUUGGGGAUGGACGCGCGGCUUAUCAGCUUGUUGGUGGGGUAGUGGCUUACCAAGGCUGUGACGGGUAGCCGGCCUGAGAGGGUGACCGGCCACAUUGGGACUGAGAUACGGCGCAGACUCCUACGGGAGGCAGCAGUGGGGAAUAUUGCACAAUGGGCGGAAGCCUGAUGCAGCAACGCCGCGUGCGGGAUGACGGCCUUCGGGUUGUAAACCGCUUUCGCCUGUGACGAAGCGUGAGUGACGGUAAUGGGUAAAGAAGCACCGGCUAACUACGUG
rnacentral:rRNA from 1 species